UUUGGGUAAGACUUCCUGGAUCUGAUACCUCUGCUGAUGACACCGACAACAAUCGAAUGACAUGGGAAAAUAAUCGCCGGUCUUCAUAGGCUGUGUCCAUAAGAUUCCACAAGUUUGUUAACUCUUUACCUAGCAGGUGACACUAAUUAGGUCGUUUAAUUGAAGGCAAAUUCAGCCGAACAUCUAAUAUCAGAUCUAACCUUUUCAAGCCGCUUUUGCUUUUCUUGCUCGAGGGAAUCCACCGCGCUGUUGAGCUUAACCAAGACAUGGUUGCUUAUGUUUUUUGAAAUCCCACACAAAUCAUUUAAGCUUGGGUGAACUUCACCAAUGAUAUUGGUUGAAUCCAGUCCUAAUAUUGUAGACAGCUUGUGGACUGUAUCUGUAUAAUGUUCCACUUUCUGGAGACGUUCAUUCUGUAAAAAAUUUUCUGAAUUUGGCCUUGCACAGUUCGGAACUGGUUCAUCCUCUCCUCUUUCCUCGAUCUCAUCUCCUGUAGAGCUGGUGUGAUGGAGUCUAGCUGCUCUUUCAGUGUUCCUGCCAGUCUAUCUGGCUGAUAAGAUGAAGGAUAUAAAUCAGUUCAAUGAAGUGCAACAAAAGGAUUGCUUUAAUGAUUCACAAAUCAUGAACUUAGAUCCUACUGCUAUUCGGUUAAUGAAACAUUGUAUUAAGGCAUGUCCUUUAUCAUAUUAUUUGACUUAACAGGGUUUUAGUUGAACUACCCGACCAGGGAAUGAUCGUUCACCAAGUGAUAAAAGAAGAUGAGUAAAUUCAGCCUCAGCUUCCGCCAGCUCCUGAUGCAGGCGAGCUCUUGACGUAUUUGCUGCAUCAACUUUUCUCCUGUAGACCUCCACACACUCUUGUUCCAAAUCUAGUAAGACCUUUUCUCUUUCAAAUUGAUCUUCUCCUACUUCAUUCCAUAUCAUCUGUCAAAUUUUAGUUUGAGGAAAAAGUAAUGUCAAAAUGAGUAUCAUGAUAGAAACCAUUUCUAAUCUAUUAUAUUCAUUCAUAAAUAUUUAAUGAUGAAAUAAAGCUCUUGCCUGCAAUUCUUGUAGUAGAUAUCCACAUGAAGUUUCUAUCAUUGUUGAACUUCGUGUUCCUAUCGAAGUUUGAAAUGAACUCAUGGGAUGCUGCUUGCUCUAUAUGCAGAUCUCAGAGAUUAUUGUUAUUAUUAUUAUUUUUGGCUAAAAGGGGGUGAAGUUCCUUGAUUGGCAGCUAAGGAAUGAGGGACAGGGAAGAGAAAAGAGAAGAGAGAGUCAAAUUUAGUGGAGCUUUGGUUGUGAGUUUUGCUUUAAAGACAAGGGUGACUGACAGGUUGGUACCCCUAAGCUUUGGGUUCAAGAAUCACCAAGUUAUGUCUUUGCAGUCUUCUCUCUUUCCCUCUAUUAAUAUUUGAACUGAAAAUAAUGAGCUAAUAUGGAACUCUCUCAACUCAUUAAGUUAAAAUCUCUCAUUCAGAGAUUUGUUUACUUAUUUAGUAUUUACAUUGACUUGCCUUAAUAACACGUAAAUUCUAAGCAACAUAGGCCUUUGAUAAAAAAGUUCUGCGCUCAAUUUAGAAUGUUCACAUCUGGCUUUUUAUGGUUGAGUAUUGAGUUACCUGUAAUCUAAUCUAUGAUAUAAACAGUGUCAAAGAUCGGAUGAUGAUCACCAACCAAAUCACAAAUUCCU